rnacentral:rRNA from 1 species
AAUCAACGCUGGCGGCGUGCCUCAGACAUGCAAGUCGAACGAUUAAAGCUCCCUUCGGGGAGUGUAUAGAGUGGCGCACGGGUGAGUAACACGUAAGUAAUCUACCCUCGAGUGGGGAAUAACGUCCGGAAACGGACGCUAAUACCGCAUAAUGCAGCGGCACCGCAAGGUGACAGUUGUUAAAGAUUUAUCGCUUGAGGAGGAGCUUGCGGCAGAUUAGCUAGUUGGAAGGUAAUGGCUUACCAAGGCUACGAUCUGUAACCGGUCUAAGAGGACGGUCGGUCACACUGACACUGAAUAACGGGUCAGACUCCUACGGGAGGCAGCAGUC